CGCCUGGUUUUACAAAAACAUGUUCUUCUGUAUAAUAAUUUAAGAUUUGACCUGCCCACUGAUAAUAAAUUGAAGGGCCGCGGUAUUUUGACCGUGCAAAGGUAGCAUAAUCAUUAGUCCUUUAAUUGUGGACUGGAAUGAAUGGUUUGACGAGGUAUUUACUGUCUCAUUUUAAUAAUUUGAAUUUAACUUUUAAGUCAAAAGGCUUAAAUGAUUUUAUAGGACGAGAAGACCCUAUAGAGCUUGAUAAUUAUUACUUAUAAUAUAUUUUUAGUUAAUUAUUUUUAUUAUAAUUAUGAUUAUUUUAUUGGGGUGAUAUAAAGAAUUAUAAAACUCUUUAUUUUUUAAAACAUUAAUUUAUGAUUAAUUGAUCCAUUAUUAAUGAUUAUAAGAUUAAGUUACCUUAGGGAUAACAGCGUUAUUUUUUUUGAGAGUUCUUAUCAACAAAAAAGAUUGCGACCUCGAUGUUGGAUUAAGGUAAAUAUUGGGUGUAGAAGUUCAAUAAAUGGGUCUGUUCGACCAUUAAAUCCUUACGUGAUCUGAGUUCAAGACCCGGA
rnacentral:rRNA from 1 species